CAGGGAGACAACAAAAUGUUAAAUAUUAAUUUUGUCACCUUAGGUCGAUCGGUAUCUCACAUUCUUAAUUUAUUAAGGAUUUUAUUUCCUAAGUUUUUUCUAGGUCACACCCAUUUUUUCCCUGGGCCAUUAGCUCAGGUGGUUAGAGCGCACCCCUGAUAAGGGUGAGGUCCCUGGUUCAAGUCCAGGAUGGCCCAUAUCUCUAUGUUGGGGGUAUAGCUCAGUUGGUAGAGCGCCUGCUUUGCAAGCAGGAUGUCAGGAGUUCGAGUCUCCUAACCUCCACUGACCGAACUUGAUUCCCAUCUCCAAUUUUUUGGAGUUGAGCUCGAUUGGAGUGUGAUUUAGAUGUGUCCGCUGGAUGACCCCAGCUUCCUGUCAUUCCAAGUUUUAGGUUGAUGCCUUGAAUUUGGUUGAUAAGAUGCUGGGCUCGGAUCAAAUAAUCAAGCAAUUGAUGAUUUGAUUUGAAGUUCUAGCAGAACCUUGACAACUGCAUAGGUGAGUCUGGAAAAAACAAAGCAUCUUACAGAUGCAUUGUUUUGAAUCCGAUCUUCUGAAAGGGAGAUU
rnacentral:tRNA from 1 species